GAUGAAGAACGUAGCGAAAUGCGAUAACUAAUGUGAAUUGCAGAAUUCCGUGAAUCAUCGAGUCUUUGAACGCACAUUGCGCCCCCUGGUAUUCCGGGGGGCAUGCCUGUCCGAGCGUCAUUGCUGCCCAUCAAGCACGGCUUGUGUGUUGGGUCCUCGUCCCCCCCGGGGGACGUGCCCGAAAGGCAGCGGCGGCACCGCGUCCGGUCCUCGAGCGUAUGGGGCUUUGUCACCCGCUCUGCAGGCCCGGCCGGCGCUGGCCGACGCGAAAGCAACCAUUUUUUCUCCAGGUUGACCUCGGAUCAGGUAGGGAUACCCGCUGAACUUAAGCAUAUCAUAAGCGGAGGA
rnacentral:misc_RNA from 1 species